rnacentral:misc_RNA from 1 species
GAUGAAGAACGCAGCAAAAUGCGAUAAGUAAUGUGAAUUGCAGAAUUCAGUGAAUCAUCGAAUCUUUGAACGCACAUUGCGCCCGCUGGUAUUCCGGCGGGCAUGCCUGUUCGAGCGUCAUUUCAACCCUCAAGCCCCCGGGUUUGGUGUUGGGGAUCGGCUCCGCCUUCUGGCGGUGCCGCCCCCGAAAUACAUUGGCGGUCUCGCUGCAGCCUCCAUUGCGUAGUAGCUAACACCUCGCAACUGGAACGCGGCGCGGCCAUGCCGUAAAACCCCAACUUCUGAAUGUUGACCUCGGAUCAGGUAGGAAUACCCGCUGAACUUAAGCAUAUCAAUAAGCGGAGGA